rnacentral:rRNA from 1 species
CAGUAGCCGGUAAUACGAAGGGUGCAAGCGUUACUCGGAAUUACUGGGCGUAAAGCGUGCGUAGGUGGUGGUUUAAGUCCGUUGUGAAAGCCCUGGGCUCAACCUGGGAAUUGCAGUGGAUACUGGGUCACUAGAGUGUGGUAGAGGAUAGUGGAAUUUCCGGUGUAGCAGUGAAAUGCGUAGAGAUCGGAAGGAACAUCUGUGGCGAAGGCGACUAUCUGGGCCAACACUGACACUGAGGCACGAAAGCGUGGGGAGCAAACAGGAUUAGAUACCCGCGUAGUCCCUGUCUCUUAUACAC